rnacentral:lncRNA from 1 species
CUACAACCACAAGACACCUAAUUAAAUAUAACUGCUUACAUGUAUCAGUGACUGGCAUUUCUUAUAUUUGUUUCCUCUGUAUCGCCACCACAUUCAGAGCAAAUGUGCAAGCUCCUCGAUUUCUAUUAAACGCCAUCACUUUUUUUUAGCACUAUCAACUCCUAUCAAGCGGGCGAUGCAUCUAAAGAUGCAGACAAAUGGAAUGGAUCAGUAUGUUUGGGUUUGUGGACAUGGAAGAAAUACAGUGCAAAAAUAGCCAUUCAAAAGUAUCACUGUGUGAUUGGAUGUGAUUCAUUUACAGGUUUUCUCAGGGCCUACUGCGCCAGGUCGACAUGAUUGAUGACAACAUUGCAGCAAGCAGUAAAAUGGCCAGAAAGCUAAAGGAGGCAUGAGUUAUAGCUGCUGAGAGGACGAGAAGAUAUAAAAGAAAGGUGUGCUGUGAAUUUGUAUCUUAAAUAACUUCUAUUUUAUACAGAUGAUCUAAUCUGAUUUGUAUAAUAAUUACGGAUUAAUAAAGACGCAUCAGUAACACUUUACAAUAAAGUUCGUUGGUUAACAUUAGUUAACUAAUUUAGUUAAUCUCAGUUCAUGUUAUUUUUAACAUUUACUAAUGCAUUAUUAAAAUCAAAAGAUGUGCUUGUUAACAUUAGUUAAUGCACAGUGAAUUAACAAAAAUACAGUAGUUCAUUGUUAGUUCAUUAACUAAUAUUAACAAAAAUUAAUAAAUACUGUAAUAAAUGUAUUGUUCAUUGUUUGUUCAUGUUAGUUAAUACAUUAACUAACAUUAACUAAUGGAAUCUUAUUGUAAAGUGUUACCGAUUCUUUGAGUCUUUCUUUUUUUAAUCU